GCCAUGACUGUCUGUGAGUGAUUGCAUUUCUCCACCCCUAUCCCUUGUCUGUUUACAGGAACAAUGGUGAGGUGUCUGCUCUGUCCCUGUACUUCAGAUUGCCCUUUAACCUUCAUAGCCUUCUGCCCGGAUAAAGAAGACGACAUGAUCUGCUGCUGCUGCCCAUGGGAUACUGAAGUUCCUGGAAAGGUUAAUCAGCCAGUCCUGAAAUGUUCGUUGACGUAUUAUUUUAUUUCCACUGCUGGUGAUAUUAUUUUCAAUGACAAUU
rnacentral:lncRNA from 1 species